rnacentral:rRNA from 1 species
UACGGAGGGGGCUAGCGUUGUUCGGAAUUACUGGGCGUAAAGCGCGCGUAGGCGGACCUGCAAGUCGGGGGUGAAAGCCCGAGGCUCAACCUCGGAACUGCCUUCGAUACUGCGGGUCUCGAGUCCGGGAGAGGUGAGUGGAAUUCCUAGUGUAGAGGUGAAAUUCGUAGAUAUUAGGAAGAACACCAGUGGCGAAGGCGGCUCACUGGCCCGGUACUGACGCUGAGGCGCGAAAGCGUGGUGAGCAAACAGG